rnacentral:rRNA from 1 species
GAUGAACGCUAGCUACAGGCUUAACACAUGCAAGUCGAGGGGAAACGAUAUUGGAAGCUUGCUUCUGAUAGGCGUCGACCGGCGCACGGGUGAGUAACGCGUAUCCAACCUGCCCAUCACUUGGGGAUAACCUUGUGAAAGUAAGACUAAUACCCAAUGACGUCUCUAGAAGACAUCUGAAAGAGAUUAAAGAUUUAUCGGUGAUGGAUGGGGAUGCGUCUGAUUAGCUUGUUGGCGGGGUAACGGCCCACCAAGGCGACGAUCAGUAGGGGUUCUGAGAGGAAGGUCCCCCACAUUGGAACUGAGACACGGUCCAAACUCCUACGGGAGGCAGCAGUGAGGAAUAUUGGUCAAUGGACGAGAGUCUGAACCAAGCCAAGUAAGCGUGCAGGAUGACGGCCC